rnacentral:rRNA from 1 species
UACGGAGGGUGCGAGCGUUGUCCGGAAUCACUGGGCGUAAAGGGCGCGUAGGCGGCCUGAUAAGUAGGGGGUGAAAUCCUGCGGCUUAACCGCAGGGCUGCCUUCUAAACUGUCAGGCUGGAGCACAGUAGAGGCAGGUGGAAUUCCCGGUGUAGCGGUGGAAUGCGUAGAGAUCGGGAAGAACAUCAGUGGCGAAGGCAGCUCGCUGGAACGGUACUGACGCUGAGGCGCGAAAGCGUGGGGAGCAAACAGG